rnacentral:misc_RNA from 1 species
GAUGAAGAACGUAGCGAAAUGCGAUAAGUAAUGUGAAUUGCAGAAUUCAGUGAAUCAUCGAAUCUUUGAACGCACAUUGCGCCCGCCAGUAUUCUGGCGGGCAUGCCUGUUCGAGCGUCAUUUCAACCAUCAAGCCCCCGGCUUGUGUUGGGGACCUGCGGCUGCCGCAGGCCCUGAAAACCAGUGGCGGGCUCGCUAGUCACUCCGAGCGUAGUAAUACAUCUCGCUCAGGGCGUGCUGCGGGUUCCGGCCGUUAAAAUGCCUUAUUUACCCAAGGUUGACCUCGGAUCAGGUAGGAAGACCCGCUGAACUUAAGCAUAUCAAUAAGCGGAGGA